GCCUGGGUGGCUCAGUCGGUUGAGCGUCUGACUUCAGCUCAGGUCAUGAUCUCGUGGUUUGUGGGUUCGAGCCCUGCAUCAGGCU
rnacentral:tRNA from 1 species